UACAGAGGGUGCGAGCGUUGUCCGGAAUCACUGGGCGGAAAGGGCGCGUAGGUGGCGACCCAAGUCGAUGGUGAAAGCUCGCCGCUCAACGGCGAGUCGGCCACCGAUACUGGGUUGCUCGAGCACUGUAGAGGCUAAUGGAAUUCCGGGUGUAGCGGUGGAAUGCGUAGAGAUCCGGGAGAACACCGGUGGCGAAGGCGGUUAGCUGGGCAGUUGCUGACACUGAGAGACGAAAGCUAGGGGAGCAAAUGGG
rnacentral:rRNA from 1 species